AAAACCACCAUUUUAUGUUCAUCUUUCUUCACCGAAUGUAGAAAAGAAAAACAAGGUUUGAAAGCUUGAAACAUUCGGCCAUUUUGAAGCUUAAUUCAAGAUCAAGAAUUAAAGAAAUCGGAUUUGGGUCGGGGAAAGACAAAGGUGGUCGAGUAGCCGAUUUAACAGUCGGCGACAUUCGAGAUUUUAAAGUCGUUACGAGCUCGGGGAUCGUCAACCAAGUCCAUCACACUAUCGACAUUUUCUUUUGGUACUUUGCUAAGUUAUUUUCAAGUAUAUGGCAUGUAUAGCAUAGUUAACAUGUUGAUUUUGGAACCAAUGUGUAUGUGUAAUUAAAAGCCAUGCGAAAAUGGCUUAUCUCUUUUUGUUUGAAUUUGGCUUUGAUGCAUAUAGUUUAAGGGACAAUAUGGAGUAUAUGCUUAUGUUAUCAUGUGCAUGGUUAAUUAAGUUUAGGUAAUGUAUAUAUUCGGCUAAGGCAAAUAUGUUUGAUAGGUAAA